rnacentral:lncRNA from 10 species
CCAAGAUGAAGAGACGAGCUGUGGGGAUCUGGCACUGUGGUUCCUGCAUGAAGACAGUGGCUGGCGGUGCCUGGACGUACAAAGAUGCCAAAAUGGAACCAAAUCUCCAUGAACUCUGCUAAUGGAAGACGAGGAAAAGGCAGGUAACCUAAGCAAACCCAAAUGGACCAAAUGCAACGCUGAUGGAAUCUAAGUGCUCAGACCAAGGAACGGGGACUGAAAUAACAGUGGACACCACAUGGCAUGAUCCAAUCAGAUUGAGCCCUGGAAAGAUCAUCCCAUGGCAAGAUCCAGUUAGAUUACACUUCCUGGCAUCACCUCAUUGCAAGAUCCAAGAUCAUGCCUCAUUACCUUCUGC